GUCGAACGGCAGCGCGGGAGCAAUCCUGGCGGCGAGUGGCGAACGGGUGAGUAAUACAUCGGAACGUGCCCAAUCGUGGGGGAUAACGCAGCGAAAGCUGUGCUAAUACCGCAUACGAUCUACGGAUGAAAGCAGGGGAUCGCAAGACCUUGCGCGAAUGGAGCGGCCGAUGGCAGAUUAGGUAGUUGGUGAGGUAAAGGCUCACCAAGCCUUCGAUCUGUAGCUGGUCUGAGAGGACGACCAGCCACACUGGGACUGAGACACGGCCCAGACUCCUACGGGAGGCAGCAGUGGGGAAUUUUGGACAAUGGGCGAAAGCCUGAUCCAGCCAUGCCGCGUGCAGGAUGAAGGCCUUCGGGUUGUAAACUGCUUUUGUACGGAACGAAACGGCCUUUUCUAAUAAAGAGGGCUAAUGACGGUACCGUAAGAAUAAGCACCGGCUAACUACGUGCCAGCCGCCG
rnacentral:rRNA from 1 species